rnacentral:rRNA from 1 species
AUACAGAGGGUGCGAGCGUUAAUCGGAAUUACUGGGCGUAAAGCGCGCGUAGGCGGCUGAUUAAGUCAGAUGUGAAAUCCCAGGGCUCAACCUGGGAACUGCAUCUGAUACGGGUAAGCUAGAGUUUGGGAGAGGGAAGUAGAAUUUCAGGUGUAGCGGUGAAAUGCAUAGAGAUCUGAAGGAAUACCAGUGGCGAAGGCGACUUCCUGGCCUAAAACUGACGCUGAGGUGCGAAAGCGUGGGUAGCAAACGGGAUUAGAAACCCCAGUAGUCC